UACGUAGGGUGCGAGCGUUAAUCGGAAUUACUGGGCGUAAAGGGUGCGCAGGCGGAUAAUUAAGUUGAGAGUGAAAUACCCGGGCUCAACCUGGGAAUGGCUUUUAAUACUGGUUAUCUAGAGUUUGUCAGAGGGGGGUGGAAUUCCAAGUGUAGCAGUGAAAUGCGUAGAGAUUUGGAGGAACACCAAUGGCGAAGGCAGCCCCCUGGGAUAAAACUGACGCUCAGGCACGAAAGCGUGGGUAGCAAACAGG
rnacentral:rRNA from 1 species